rnacentral:rRNA from 1 species
UACGUAGGGGGCAAGCGUUGUCCGGAAUCAUUGGGCGUAAAGCGAGCGUAGGCGGCCCGAUAAGUCUGCUGUAAAAGUCAACGGCUCAACCGUUGAAAGCCGGUGGAUACUGUCGGGCUAGAGUUCGGAAGAGGCAAGUGGAAUUCCUGGUGUAGCGGUGGAAUGCGCAGAUAUCAGGAGGAACACCUAUAGCGAAGGCAGCUUCUGGGGACGAUACUGACGUAAGGCUCAAAAGCGUGGGGGACGAAACAGG